UACGUAGGGCGCAAGCGUUGUCCGGAAUUAUUGGGCGUAAAGAGUUCGUAGGCGGUUGCCUAAGUCUGGUGUUAAAGCCCGAAGCUCAACUUCGGCAUGGCAUUGGAAACUGGGUAGCUAGAGUGUGGUAGAGGUAUCGGGAAUUCCUGGUGUAGCGGUGAAAUGCGUAGAUAUCAGGAGGAACACCAAUGGCGAAGGCAGAUCUCUGGGCCGUAACUGACGCUGAGGAGCGAAAGCAUGGGGAGCGAACAGG
rnacentral:rRNA from 1 species